UCUUCCCUCUUUCUUCGUGCCUCCCCCCUGCACGUCGAGCGGCAGCGAGUUUUACACUGACUUCUGGAAGCUUCUAGUUGAAAGAGAAGAUUUAUUCAAGAAUUUUGUGUAAAAUGUCGGCGAGCGGCGGACGGCUGAGUAACGCGUGGGAACGUACCCCAAAGUGAGGGAUAACGCAUCGAAAGGUGUGCUAAUACCGCAUAUGGUCUUCGGAUUAAAGCCUUCGGGCGCUUUGGGAACGGCCUGCGUAAGCUGAGAUAGUUGGUGGGGUAAUGGCCUACCAAGUCGACGUGCUUUAACUGGUGUGAGAGGAUGAUCAGUCAGACUGGAACUGAGACACGGUCCAGACUCCUACGGGAGGCAGCAGUGAGGAAUCUUCCACAAUGGGCGAAAGCCUGAUGGAGCAACGCCGCGUGCAGGAUGAAGGCCUUCGGGUUGUAAACUGCUUUUAUAAGUGAGGAUUAUGACAGUAACUUAUGAAUAAGGAUCGGCUAACUACGUG
rnacentral:rRNA from 1 species